UACGUAGGGGGGCAAGCGUUGUCCGGAAUUAUUGGGCGUAAAGAGCUUGUAGGCGGUUUGUCGCGUCUGCUGUGAAAAUCCGGGGCUCAACCCCGGACUUGCAGUGGGUACGGGCAGACUAGAGUGUGGUAGGGGAGACUGGAAUUCCUGGUGUAGCGGUGGAAUGCGCAGAUAUCAGGAGGAACACCGAUGGCGAAGGCAGGUCUCUGGGCCACUACUGACGCUGAGGAGCGAAAGCGUGGGAGCGAACAGG
rnacentral:rRNA from 1 species